UGGGGGAUAUUGCACAAUGGGCGAAAGCCUGAUGUAGCGACGCCGCGUGGGGGAUGAAGGCCUUCGGGUUGUAAACUUCUUUUGCUCUGAACAAGGCAUGCCUUUGGGGUGUGUUGAGUGUCGGGGUUGAUUAGCGCCGGCUAACUACGUGCCAGCAGCCGCGGUAAUACGUAGGGCGCGAGCGUUGUCCGGAAUUAUUGGGCGUAAAGGGCUUGUAGGUGGCUGGUUGCGUCUGUCGUGAAAGCUCAUGGCUUAACUGUGGGUUUGCGGUGGGUACGGGCUGGCUUGAGUGCAGUAGGGGAGGCUGGAAUUCCUGGUGUAGCGGUGGAAUGCGCAGAUAUCAGGAGGAAUACCGGUGGCGAAGGCGGGUCUCUGGGCUGUUACUGACGCUGAGGAGCGAAAGCGUGGGGAGCGAACAGG
rnacentral:rRNA from 1 species